rnacentral:lncRNA from 1 species
AUGCAUCCAUCUAGUGAACAGUCCUCUAUGUAUCCAUCUAGUGAACUGUCCUCUAUGUAUCCAUCUAGUGAACAGUCCUCUAUGUAUCCAUCUAGUGAACUGUCCUCUAUGUAUCCAUCUAGUGAACAGUCCUCUAUGUAUCCAUCUAGUGAACUGUCCUUUAUGUAUCCAUCUAGUGAACUGUCCUCUAUGUAUCCAUCUAGUGAACUGUCCUCUAUGUAUCCAUCUAGUGAACUGUCCUCUAUGCAUCCAUCUAGUGACCUGUCCUCUAUGCAUCCAUCUAGUGACCAGUCCUCUAUGCAUCCAUCUAGUGACCAGUCCUCUAUGCAUCCAUCUAGUGACCAGUCCUCUAUGCAUCCAUCUAGUGACCAGUCCUCUAUGCAUCCAUCUAGUGAACAGUCCUCUAUGCAUCCAUCUAGUGACCAGUCCUCUAUGCAUCCAUCUAGUGACCAGUCCUCUAUGUAUCCAUCUAGUGAACAGUCCUCUAUGUAUCCAUCUAGUGAACAGUCCUCUAUGUAUCCAUCUAGUGAACAGUCCUCUAUGUAUCCAUCUAGUGAACUGUCCUCUAUGUAUCCAUCUAGUGAACUGUCCUCUAUGCAUCCAUCUAGUGAACUGUCCUCUAUGCAUCCAUCUAGUGAACUGUCCUCUAUGCAUCCAUCUAGUGACCUGUCCUCUAUGCAUCCAUCUAGUGACCUGUCCUCUAUGCAUCCAUCUAGUGACCAGUCCUCUAUGCAUCCAUCUAGUGACCAGUCCUCUAUGCAUCCAUCUAGUGAACAGUCCUCUAUGCAUCCAUCUAGUGACCAGUCCUCUAUGCAUCCAUCUAGUGAACAGUCCUCUAUGCAUCCAUCUAGUGACCAGUCCUCUAUGUAUCCAUCUAGUGACCAGUCCUCUAUGCAUCCAUCUAGUGACCAGUCCUCUAUGCAUCCAUCUAGUGACCAGUCCUCUAUGCAUCCAUCUAGUGAACAGUCCUCUAUGCAUCCAUCUAGUGACCAGUCCUCUAUGCAUCCAUCUAGUGAACAGUCCUCUAUGCAUCCAUCUAGUGACCAGUCCUCUAUGCAUCCAUCUAGUGAACAGUCCUCUAUGCAUCCAUCUAGUGAACAGCCCCCUGUCCCUGGGACCCAGGCCCUGCCUCCAUGUGCUGAAUGGGCUAGUAUUGAUUCACAAGAUCUCUAUCACAUUCCUGACAAGGACACCUGCAUUUAG